UAUCUCUCCGUACGGGGAAGGAUGAGAAGCUUCGACCAAGGUUCGAUUCGAGCGCAGCGAGAAAGCGUUGCCGUAGGCAACGACCCGAAGGGCGAAGCGCGCAGCGCUGAGUCAUCCUUCCCCCAGCACCA
rnacentral:sRNA from 1 species